UACGUAGGGUGCAAGCGUUAAUCGGAAUUACUGGGCGUAAAGCGUGCGCAGGCGGUUGUGCAAGACAGAUGUGAAAUCCCCGGGCUCAACCUGGGAAUUGCAUUUGUGACUGCACGGCUAGAGUGUGUCAGAGGGGGUAGAAUUCCACGUGUAGCAGUGAAAUGCGUAGAGAUGUGGAGGAACACCGAUGGCGAAGGCAGCCCCUGGGUCAAGAUUGACGCUCGAUGCACGAAAGCGUGGGGAGCAAACAGG
rnacentral:rRNA from 1 species